UCCUCCGUGGCGCAAUUGGCUAGCGCGUCUGACUGUUAGUAAUAACUGAUAUCAGGAGGUUGAAAGUUCGAGCCUUUCCGGGGGAG